GAUGAACGCUGGCGGCGUGCUUAACACAUGCAAGUCGAACGAAGCACUUUAACCUGAUUCUUCGGAUGAAGGUUUUUGUGACUGAGUGGCGGACGGGUGAGUAACGCCUGGGUAACCUGCCUCAUACAGGGGGAUAACAGCUAGAAAUGACUGCUAAUACCGCAUAAGAUCACCGAGCCGCAUGGCUCGGUGGGAAAAACUCCGGUGGUAUGGGAUGGACCCGCGUCUGAUUAGGUAGUUGGUAGGGUAACGGCCUACCAAGCCAACGAUCAGUAGCCGACCUGAGAGGGUGACCGGCCACACUGGGACUGAGACACGGCCCAGACUCCUACGGGAGGCAGCAGUGGGGAAUAUUGCACAAUGGGCGAAAGCCUGAUGCAGCGACGCCGCGUGAGCGAAGAAGUAUUUAGGGAUGUAAAGCUCUAUCAGCAGGGAAGAAAAUGACGGUACCUGAAGAAGAAGCACCGGCUAAAUACGUG
rnacentral:rRNA from 1 species